rnacentral:rRNA from 1 species
CCUACGGGAGGCUGCAGUGAGGAAUAUUGGUCAAUGGACGAGAGUCUGAACCAGCCAAGUAGCGUGAAGGAUGACUGCCCUAUGGGUUGUAAACUUCUUUUAUAUGGGAAUAAAAUGUUCCACGUGUGGGAUUUUGUAUGUACCAUAUGAAUAAGGAUCGGCUAACUCCGUGCCAGCAGCCGCGGUAAUACGGAGGAUCCGAGCGUUAUCCGGAUUUAUUGGGUUUACAGGGGGCGUAGGUGGAUUGUUAAGUCAGGUGUGAAAGUUUGCGGCUAAACCCUAAAAUUGCAGUUGAAACUGGCAGUCUAGAGUACAGUAGAGGUGGGCGGAAUUCGUGGUGUAGCGGUGAAAUGCUUAGAUAUCACGAAGAACUCCGAUUGCGAAGGCAGCUCACUGGACUGCAACUGACACUGAGGCUCGAAAGUGUGGGUAUCAAACAGGAUUAGAUACCCGAGUAGUC